rnacentral:tRNA from 1 species
GAGAUGUGGGGUAAUGUCCCGCAAGUCUUA